rnacentral:rRNA from 1 species
AAAAACAUGUCCUAUUGUUAAUAAUUUUAGGUUUGACCUGCCCCCUGAGUUUUUAAAUGGCCGCGGUAUUUUGACUGUGCUAAGGUAGCAUAAUCAUUAGUUUCUUAAUUAGAAGCUGGUAUGAAUGGUUUUAUGAAAAAAAGACUGUCUCUUUUUAAAUUUAUUAUAAAUUUAUUUUUUAGUAAAAAAGCUGAAAUUAUUUUGAAAGACGAGAAGACCCUAUAGAGUUUUAUAUUAUUUUAAUUUUAGGUUUAUUAGAAUUUUAAAUUUUUAAGUUAUUAUAUUAUUUAAUUGGGGUGAUUGGAAAAUUAAUUAAACUUUUCUUUUUUAAUUACAUUGAUUUAUGAUUUUUUGAUCCAUUAUUUAUGAUUAAAAGGUUAAAUUACCUUAGGGGUAACAGCGUAAUUUUUUCAAAGAGUUCUUAUCGAAGAAAAAGAUUGCGACCUCGAUGUUGGAUUAAAAUUUACUUUUGGUGUAGAAGCUAA